GCCUACCAUUAGAUAGCUCAAUUGGUAGAACAUGAGACUCUUUCGUCUCAGUGUAGUGGGUUCGAGCCCCACGUUGGGCA